GUUGUUAAAAAAAUCCAAAAUCCGCUAGAUGUAUCAAAGUGUUGAGAAAGCUUCUCCAAGAGUUAAGAGAAAAGAAAAGAAUGAUUAGAAAAGAGCUUAAAAGAUUCAUGAAUGCAAAGGGUAGAGUUAAGUUCUUAUAUUGGGAUUGGAGAUGGAAUUACCAUUAGAGCUUCAUUUGAUAUACUCUGGGUAGAUGGGAUCUUAUCUCAAUAUGCAUAGCUUGGGACUUACCUUUAGCAUUCUACUAAAGCUUAUUCAUU
rnacentral:sRNA from 1 species